AGUGAACGCUGGCGGUAGGCCUAACACAUGCAAGUCGAACGGCAGCACAGUAAGAGCUUGCUCUUACGGGUGGCGAGUGGCGGACGGGUGAGGAAUACAUCGGAAUCUCCUUUUUCGUGGGGGAUAACGUAGGGAAACUUACGCUAAUACCGCAUACGACCUACGGGUGAAAGCAGUGGAUCUUCGGACCUUGCGCGAUUGAAUGAGCCGAUGUCGGAUUAGCUAGUUGGCGGGGUAAAGGCCCACCAAGGCGACGAUCCGUAGCUGGUCUGAGAGGAUGAUCAGCCACACUGGAACUGGGACACGGUCCAGACUCCUACGGGAGGCAGCAGUGGGGAAUAUUGGACAAUGGGCGCAAGCCUGAUCCAGCCAUACCGCGUGGGUGAAGAAGGCCUUCGGGUUGUAAAGCCCUUUUGUUGGGAAAGAAAAGCAGCAGGUUAAUACCCCGCUGUUCUGACGGUACCCAAAGAAUAAGCACCGGCUAACUUCGUG
rnacentral:rRNA from 1 species